rnacentral:rRNA from 1 species
CCUACGGGAGGCAGCAGUGAGGAAUAUUGGUCAAUGGCCGAAAGGCUGAACCAGCCAAGUAGCGUGAAGGAAGAAGGACCUAUGGUUUGUAAACUUCUUUUAUAGGGGAAUAAAGGUAUCCACGUGUGGAUAUUUGCAUGUACCUUAUGAAUAAGCAUCGGCUAACUCCGUGCCAGCAGCCGCGGUAAUACGGAGGAUACGAGCGUUAUCCGGAUUUAUUGGGUUUAAAGGGUGCGUAGAUUGUUUUUUAAGUCAGCGGUGAAAGUUUGUGGCUCAACCAUAAAAUUGCCGUUGAUACUGGAAGACUUGAGUGUAGUGGAGGUAGGCGGAAUGCGUGGUGUAGCGGUGAAAUGCAUAGAUAUCACGAAGAACUCCGAUUGCGAAGGCAGCUUACUAAGCCGUAACUGACACUGAUGCACGAAAGCGUGGGGAUCAAACAGGAUUAGAUACCCUUGUAGUC